GACGGGGGGGGCAAGUGUUCUUCGGAAUGACUGGGCGUAAAGGGGCAACGUAGGCGGUGAAUCGGGUUUGAAAGUGAAAGUCGCCAAAAAAGUGGCGGGAAUGCUCUCGAAACCAAUUCACUUGAGUGAGACAGAGGAGAGUGGAAUUUCGUGUGGUAGGGGUGAAAUCCGUAAAUAUACGAAGGAAACGCCAAAAGCGAAGGCAGCUCUCUGGGUCCCUACCGA
rnacentral:rRNA from 1 species